rnacentral:rRNA from 1 species
UACGGAGGGUGCGAGCGUUGUCCGGAAUCACUGGGCGUAAAGGGCGCGUAGGCGGCGCGAGUAGUCAACGGUGAAAGCCCGGGGCUCAACCCCGGGUCGGCCGUCGAUACUCUCGUGCUUGAGCACUGUAGAGGCAGGUGGAAUUCCGGGUGUAGCGGUGGAAUGCGUAGAGAUCCGGAGGAACACCAGUGGCGAAGGCGGCUUUCUGGUCCUUAACUGACGCUGAGGCGCGAAGGCGUGGGGAGCGAACGGG